rnacentral:tRNA from 1 species
GCGGGAAUAGCUCAGUGGUAGAGCACAACCUUGCCAAGGUUGGGGCCGCGGGUUCGAACCCCGUUUCCCGCUCCA